UAUCAUUAAUCAAGCCCGGCUUGCUGUUGGACCUCAUGUCGUCACAAAGACAGGUCCCAAAGAUAAUGACGGUGUCUCUUAGACCCUAGAUGCAACGAGCUUUAACCAGCACGCGUUUAGUUGGCCUUUUUGACCCGGUCUUUUUUAACCACAUUUAAAAGGUUGACCUCGGAUCAGGUAGGAAUACCCGCUGAACUUAA
rnacentral:misc_RNA from 1 species